rnacentral:rRNA from 2 species
GGACUACUGGGGUUUCUAAUCCUGUUUGCUCCCCUAGCUUUCGUGCCUUAGUGUCAGGAGUUGUCCAGGGACUCGCCUUCGCCACUGGUGUUCCUCUCGAUAUCUACGCAUUUCACUGCUACACCGAGAAUUCCAGUCCCCCCUCCAACCCUCCAGCCGAAUAGUAUUCAAUGCCAUUUCCGGGUUGAGCCCGGAGAUUUCACAUCAAACUUACCCGACCACCUACGCACCCUUUACGCCCAGUGAAUCCGAACAACGCUUGGGACCUCUGUAUUACCGCGGCGGCUGGCAC